GCGCGAUUAGCUCAGCGGGAGAGCGCUUCCCUGACACGGAAGAGGUCACUGGUUGAAUCCCAGUAUCGCGCA
rnacentral:tRNA from 1 species